AAGACUUUAAGUUAAAAAAACUAAAAACCUUCAAAGUUUUAAAUGACCUAAAAAUCAAGUCUUG
rnacentral:tRNA from 1 species